GAUCCUGGCUCAGGAUGAACGCUGACAGAAUGCUUAACACAUGCAAGUCUACUUGAACUUCGGUUUGGGUGGCGGACGGGUGAGUAACGCGUAAAGAACUUGCCUCACAGUUAGGGACAACGAUUUGGAAACGAAUGCUAAGUACCUGAUAUUAUGAUUUUAGGGCAUCCUAAGAUUAUGAAAGCUAUAUGCGCUGUGAGAGAGCUUUGCGUCCCAUUAGCUAGUUGGAGAGGUAACGG
rnacentral:rRNA from 1 species